rnacentral:tRNA from 1 species
GCGCCGGUGGUGUAAGGCGAACAUCGCUGCCCGGAAAGCAGAAGAUGCGGGUUCGAGUCCCGCAUGGCACA